ACGAGAAGUCGGCUUCGGCCGAUGAGUACAGUGGCGCACGGGUGAGUAACACGUGGGUAACCUACCUCUCGGUGGGGGAUAACACACCGAAAGGUGUGCUAAUACCGCAUAACACGACAUUGUAGAUUAUGAUGUCGUCAAAGGUGGCGCAAGCUGCCGCUGAGAGAUGGGCCCGCGGACCAUUAGCUAGUUGGUAGGGUAAUGGCCUACCAAGGCCACGAUGGUUAGCUGGUCUGAGAGGAUGUCCAGCCACACUGGAACUGGAACACGGUCCAGACUCCUACGGGAGGCAGCAGUGAGGAAUUUUGCGCAAUGGGGGGAACCCUGACGCAGCAACGCCGCGUGAGUGAAGAAGGCCCUCGGGUUGUAAAGCUCUGUCAGAGCUGAAGAAACUACUUCGGGUAAAUAGCCCGUGGUACUGACGGUAAGCUCAGAGGAAGCACCGGCUAACUUCGUGCCAGCAGCCGCGGUAAUACGGAGGGUGCAAACGUUGCUCGGAAUCAUUGGGCGUAAAGCGCACGUAGGCGGCAAGGUAUGUCGGAUGUGAAAGCCCUCGGCUUAACCGAGGAAGUGCAUCCGAAACUGCCUGGCUUGAGUACGGGAGAGGGUAGCGGAAUUCCCAGUGUAGAGGUGAAAUUCGUAGAUAUCGGGAGGAACACCAGUGGCGAAGGCGGCUACCUGGACCGAUACUGACGCUGAUGUGCGAAAGCGUGGGGAGCAAACAGGAUUAGAUACCCUGGUAGUCCACGCCGUAAACGAUGAGUGCUACGCGUCGCGGGUAUUGACCCCUGCGGUGCCGUA
rnacentral:rRNA from 1 species